UACGAAGGUGGCAAGCGUUGUUCGGAAUCACUGGGCGUAAAGGGCGCGUAGGCGGCCCUUCUUGUCGCGUGUGAAAGCCCCGGGCUCAACCUGGGAACGGCGCGCGAGACGGGAGGGCUGGAGUUCGGGAGAGGAGCGUGGAAUUCCCAGUGUAGAGGUGAAAUUCGUAGAUAUUGGGAAGAACACCGGUGGCGAAGGCGGCGCUCUGGACCGAGACUGACGCUGAGGCGCGAAAGCGUGGGGAGCGAACAGG
rnacentral:rRNA from 1 species